rnacentral:lncRNA from 1 species
AUGGGCGGCAGGGGGCGCUGCCGGCAAGGCAUUGCUCGUCAGACCCCUGAGCUCGCAGCAGUGCGCACGCGCGGGGUCGAGCGGCUUCUCCAGGCCCGCGAACUGCCCUCCACUGGCUCUGGGCGUACGGCUUUAUGUGAGCUCUGUGAUGGCUCUGGGCUCAAAACAAUCCCUGGUUUAAGUGCAGCAGAAUGGAGAGAAAGCCUCUGCGUGCCAGCUCCUCAAACAGUGAAACAGCUGUCAUAAAAUUCAACAUCCCACAACUAGGUAUGUACCUAAGAGAAUUGAGAACAUAGGUCCACAUAAAAACAUGUGCAUGAAUGUUCAUAGCAGUAUAAUGCAGAAUAGUCAAAAAGUAGAAGCA